AAGUAGACUUCUCUUAUGAAAUAAUGUCUAUAUUUUAAUAACAAGUGUGGUAACGUACCACACAGAUGCUGAUACAGUGAUAGCAGAAACAACCUUUGGUAUCGUGCAAUUCUUAUUGGGUUUCUUUAUCUGACUUGAACUUCUCCAAGAUUUGCAUCAACCAAUUUUCUACAAUAUUUCAUUCCCUUGGAUAUUGCUUGGACCCCGGCAUACGUGUUUUCGAAUGAAUUCUCUCUUCAUUUGAAAAUGGCGACAAUUUUUUACGAAUGCAUGAGUGGAAUAUUCAGUUCAUCAUGUUAUUUUGUGAUCUAUGGAUUCUUUGUUUACGUCACAAUUCCGCUGAUUUUCAAGAUUUAUCCAAAAAUCGUCUUUGAAGGAUUAUUUCUCAACAGAGUCUGCCCACCUGUAUGGUUACUGAAGCUGAACAAACCAGACAAAGCCUACAAUCUUAAAGAGAGCAAGAACUGCUAUGUGAGGUCUUCGAGUGGAAGUACUUUAGGCGUUUGGCAUAUUCCGCCAGUCACUCAGUACGAUACUCCAGAGGUCAAAUCAGGGUCAUUACAAGACGCUGAGAAAAUCAUCAUUUAUUGCCAUGGCAACUCGUUUCAUCGUGGUUUCAAGCAUCGAAGAGAUUUAUAUUCAGAGCUGCAGAAAUCAGGAUUCCACAUCAUAGCUUUUGACUACAGUGGAUUUGCGGACUCUACCGGUCAGCCGAGUCCAACAAGAGUCGUGGAAGAUGCAAUUAGCGUGUAUAAGUGGACGGUCAAGCAGCUCCAGAAAGAAGAUGUGACAAUCGUGCUCUGGGGUCAUUCACUCGGCACUUACAUCAGCACGAGGGCGCUAUCGCUCAUGUACGACCAGAAAGACGGCACUCGACUCCCUGACUGUCUGAUACUUGAAGCUCCGUUCACGAAUACAUAUGAUGCCGCAGACUGCUUCCCACUAUCUAAGUAUUUCUAUCUGCUCUAUCCCUUCAUGAGGUCUCAGGUUCACAAGAAUAUCAAACAAUAUGACGUAGAGCUCAGGACUGAGAAGUAUCUGCCCACAAUAAAGGCUCCUGUUAUGAUUUUACAUGCUAAAGAUGAUCAGAGAAUCGACAUUCAUCUCGGUGAGACUCGGCGACAUUCAUCUCGGUGUACGAAAAGACGACCUCUGACCCCAUGACAAAAUCUCCUCACAUUCGUUUCAUUUGAAUGCACAAGGAUUACGGAGUGAAACACUGCACUGCUAAGCACCCUGAGAUAAGGAAGUUAGUGCAUGAUUUCAUGGCUGAGGUAGCAAAGGUCAAAGGUGAUCAGGAACAAGGAACUCCAGAAAGAAGACGUGACAAUCGUGCUCUGGGGUCAUUCACUCGGCUCGUACAUCAGCACGACGGCGCUAUCGCUCAUGUACGACCAGAAAGAUGACACUCGACUCCCAGACUGUCUGAUACUUGAAGCUCCGUUCAUGAAUACAUACGAUGCCGCGGACUGCUUUCCAUUGUCUAAGGUGAGAUUUUUGUUUCAUUUAGGUACUCCCGUAGUAUGUGAACCAAGAUGGCGGACAUCUGAACGUAUUAUGUGUACCAGGUUAGAAUUAGGCAAUAAAUUCAGAUACAUAUAUUACGGGUAUCACUUGGCUAGUCUUUGAACUCCGAAACCGAAAGGAAAAUUGGAAUAAAAUUAUGGCACAACCCUAACCAUGUAUACAUACUACGUUCUGGUGUCCGCCAUCUUGGUUCACAUACUGGGGAAGUACCUUAAUUUCUAUGAUGUGAUAUAGUAUUAUACGAUGCUUAUCAACGCUUUUUCUUACUGUACAAAGCCCGGCAUCAGUAUCAACUGAUAUCUAACGAUAUGUAAGGAUAUACUAUAUACCGUAUUUUCUCGACUAUACGUCUAUCACGCGGAUAAGCCGACUCCCUAAUAACUGCUUCGAAAUAGUGAAUUUAUAAAAAUUCGCAUGUAAGCCGUUUCCACAAAUCGUAACAGGGCACCCGCAUCUAUUACAGUCAAUGAUGUUCAAUUCAAAUAUCGCGAUUCGCUACCUUCUUGUAUAUGGCACACACAUUCUAGCGCCGCUGUCCACAUUUUGAUUAAAACAAUUUUCGAUUAUUAUAUUUUCUGUUUUAUGGUAAUGGAAGACAGCACUUU